GUGGGGAAUAUUGGACAAUGGGCGAAAGCCUGAUCCAGCCAUGCCGCGUGUGUGAAGAAGGUCUUCGGAUUGUAAAGCACUUUAAGUUGGGAGGAAGGGCAGUAAGUUAAUACCUUGCUGUUUUGACGUUACCAACAGAAUAAGCACCGGCUAACUUCGUGCCAGCAGCCGCGGUAAUACGAAGGGUGCAAGCGUUAAUCGGAAUUACUGGGCGUAAAGCGCGCGUAGGUGGUUCAGCAAGUUGAAGGUGAAAUCCCCGGGCUCAACCUGGGAACUGCCUCCAAAACUAAUGAGCUAGAGUACGGUAGAGGGUAGUGGAAUUUCCUGUGUAGCGGUGAAAUGCGUAGAUAUAGGAAGGAACACCAGUGGCGAAGGCGACUACCUGGACUGAUACUGACACUGAGGUGCGAAAGCGAGGGGAGCAAAUGGGAUUAGAUACCCCGGUAGUCC
rnacentral:rRNA from 1 species